rnacentral:lncRNA from 1 species
GGCAUAACAAAUAUAAAGCAAGAUAAUGAUUUUAUUUUAUUUUAUUGCAUGGGAUAAGCGAGAGGGUACGUUCGAGUCCUAGUGGACUUUAUUCCAAUAAUAUUGUCCAUGCACAAACCACAACGGCUCAAGCAUGGUGUACUACGUCUUAUGUCACAAGCUUUACUUAAACAUAGAUUUAAAAUCCACCGCCAGAACCACCACCAAAGCCUCCACCCCCACCAGCACCACCUCCGUGACCACCGCCAAUCCCUCCUCCGGAGCCGCCUCCACCCCCGAAUCCUCCUCCAGCACCCCCACCUGAUCCACCUCCAAAACCCCCGCCAGCACCAGCUCCACCUCCAAAUCCUCCUCCAGCUCCGCCACCUGCCCCACCUCCAAAUCCUCCACCACCACCCUUGCCGCCUCCGAACCCACCGCCAGCACCUCCACCAGACCCGCCCCCACCGCCAAAUCCUCCUCCUGAACCACCACCAAACCCUCCUCCGCCACCCUUCCCACCUCCAAACCCUCCUCCACCACCUUUCCCACCUCCAAACCCUCCUCCACCACCUUUUCCACCUCCAAACCCUCCUCCGGCACCACCUCCGCCGCCAAAUCCUCCUCCACCACCAAGCCCUCCACCAGAAAACGAAUCCUUCUCCAGCUUUCUGGCUUCUGCCAUUCCCACGACCACCAAUACCAUCACUACACCCAUCACUCCCACAUACUUAGAA